rnacentral:rRNA from 1 species
UUAAGCGACUAAGCGUACACGGUGGAUGCCCUGGCAGUCAGAGGCGAUGAAGGACGUGCUAAUCUGCGAUAAGCGUCGGUAAGGUGAUAUGAACCGUUAUAACCGGCGAUUUCCGAAUGGGGAAACCCAGUGUGAUUCGUCACACUAUCAUUAACUGAAUCCAUAGGUUAAUGAGGCGAACCGGGGGAACUGAAACAUCUAAGUACCCCGAGGAAAAGAAAUCAACCGAGAUUCCCCCAGUAGCGGCGAGCGAACGGGGAGCAGCCCAGAGCCUGAAUCAGUGUGUGUGUUAGUGGAAGCGUCUGGAAAGGCGCGCGAUACAGGGUGACAGCCCCGUACACAAAAAUGCACAUACUGUGAGCUCGAUGAGUAGGGCGGGACACGUGGUAUCCUGUCUGAAUAUGGGGGGACCAUCCUCCAAGGCUAAAUACUCCUGACUGACCGAUAGUGAACCAGUACCGUGAGGGAAAGGCGAAAAGAACCCCGGCGAGGGGAGUGAAAAAGAACCUGAAACCGUGUACGUACAAGCAGUGGGAGCACGCUUAGGCGUGUGACUGCGUACCUUUUGUAUAAUGGGUCAGCGACUUAUAUUCUGUAGCAAGGUUAACCGAAUAGGGGAGCCGAAGGGAAACCGAGUCUUAACUGGGCGUUAAGUUGCAGGGUAUAGACCCGAAACCCGGUGAUCUAGCCAUGGGCAGGUUGAAGGUUGGGUAACACUAACUGGAGGACCGAACCGACUAAUGUUGAAAAAUUAGCGGAUGACUUGUGGCUGGGGGUGAAAGGCCAAUCAAACCGGGAGAUAGCUGGUUCUCCCCGAAAGCUAUUUAGGUAGCGCCUCGUGAAUUCAUCUCCGGGGGUAGAGCACUGUUUCGGCAAGGGGGUCAUCCCGACUUACCAACCCGAUGCAAACUGCGAAUACCGGAGAAUGUUAUCACGGGAGACACACGGCGGGUGCUAACGUCCGUCGUGAAGAGGGAAACAACCCAGACCGCCAGCUAAGGUCCCAAAGUCAUGGUUAAGUGGGAAACGAUGUGGGAAGGCCCAGACAGCCAGGAUGUUGGCUUAGAAGCAGCCAUCAUUUAAAGAAAGCGUAAUAGCUCACUGGUCGAGUCGGCCUGCGCGGAAGAUGUAACGGGGCUAAACCAUGCACCGAAGCUGCGGCAGCGACGCUUAUGCGUUGUUGGGUAGGGGAGCGUUCUGUAAGCCUGCGAAGGUGUGCUGUGAGGCAUGCUGGAGGUAUCAGAAGUGCGAAUGCUGACAUAAGUAACGAUAAAGCGGGUGAAAAGCCCGCUCGCCGGAAGACCAAGGGUUCCUGUCCAACGUUAAUCGGGGCAGGGUGAGUCGACCCCUAAGGCGAGGCCGAAAGGCGUAGUCGAUGGGAAACAGGUUAAUAUUCCUGUACUUGGUGUUACUGCGAAGGGGGGACGGAGAAGGCUAUGUUGGCCGGGCGACGGUUGUCCCGGUUUAAGCGUGUAGGCUGGUUUUCCAGGCAAAUCCGGAAAAUCAAGGCUGAGGCGUGAUGACGAGGCACUACGGUGCUGAAGCAACAAAUGCCCUGCUUCCAGGAAAAGCCUCUAAGCAUCAGGUAACAUCAAAUCGUACCCCAAACCGACACAGGUGGUCAGGUAGAGAAUACCAAGGCGCUUGAGAGAACUCGGGUGAAGGAACUAGGCAAAAUGGUGCCGUAACUUCGGGAGAAGGCACGCUGAUAUGUAGGUGAAGUCCCUCGCGGAUGGAGCUGAAAUCAGUCGAAGAUACCAGCUGGCUGCAACUGUUUAUUAAAAACACAGCACUGUGCAAACACGAAAGUGGACGUAUACGGUGUGACGCCUGCCCGGUGCCGGAAGGUUAAUUGAUGGGGUUAGCGCAAGCGAAGCUCUUGAUCGAAGCCCCGGUAAACGGCGGCCGUAACUAUAACGGUCCUAAGGUAGCGAAAUUCCUUGUCGGGUAAGUUCCGACCUGCACGAAUGGCGUAAUGAUGGCCAGGCUGUCUCCACCCGAGACUCAGUGAAAUUGAACUCGCUGUGAAGAUGCAGUGUACCCGCGGCAAGACGGAAAGACCCCGUGAACCUUUACUAUAGCUUGACACUGAACAUUGAGCCUUGAUGUGUAGGAUAGGUGGGAGGCUUUGAAGUGUGGACGCCAGUCUGCAUGGAGCCGACCUUGAAAUACCACCCUUUAAUGUUUGAUGUUCUAACGUUGACCCGUGAUCCGGGUUGCGGACAGUGUCUGGUGGGUAGUUUGACUGGGGCGGUCUCCUCCUAAAGAGUAACGGAGGAGCACGAAGGUUGGCUAAUCCUGGUCGGACAUCAGGAGGUUAGUGCAAUGGCAUAAGCCAGCUUGACUGCGAGCGUGACGGCGCGAGCAGGUGCGAAAGCAGGUCAUAGUGAUCCGGUGGUUCUGAAUGGAAGGGCCAUCGCUCAACGGAUAAAAGGUACUCCGGGGAUAACAGGCUGAUACCGCCCAAGAGUUCAUAUCGACGGCGGUGUUUGGCACCUCGAUGUCGGCUCAUCACAUCCUGGGGCUGAAGUAGGUCCCAAGGGUAUGGCUGUUCGCCAUUUAAAGUGGUACGCGAGCUGGGUUUAGAACGUCGUGAGACAGUUCGGUCCCUAUCUGCCGUGGGCGCUGGAGAACUGAGGGGGGCUGCUCCUAGUACGAGAGGACCGGAGUGGACGCAUCACUGGUGUUCGGGUUGUCAUGCCAAUGGCACUGCCCGGUAGCUAAAUGCGGAAGAGAUAAGUGCUGAAAGCAUCUAAGCACGAAACUUGCCCCGAGAUGAGUUCUCCCUGACCCUUUAAGGGUCCUGAAGGAACGUUGAAGACGACGACGUUGAUAGGCCGGGUGUGUAAGCGCAGCGAUGCGUUGAGCUAACCGGUACUAAUGAACCGUGAGGCUUAACCUU